CACGUAGGGCGCAAGCGUUGUCCGGAAUUAUUGGGCGUAAAGAGCUCGUAGGCGGUUUGUUGCGUCGGCUGUGAAAUCCCGAGGCUCAACCUCGGGUCUGCAGUCGAUACGAGCAAACUAGAGUGUUGCAGGGGAGACUGGAAUUCCGGGUGUAGCGGUGGAAUGCGUAGAGAUCCGGAAGAACACCGGUGGCGAAGGCGGUUAGCUGGGCAGUUGCUGACACUGAGGCGCGACAGCGUGGGGAGCAAACAGG
rnacentral:rRNA from 1 species